ACCAUGAUCACUUGCAUACAAAACGUAGCCGGGAGAGGAGGGGAGAGAAGUAGAAAAAGAUUGAAAAUUGUGCAGGAUUCAGUCGGGUUAGCUAAAGGGAUUCAAUGCGCGUAGCUUGGAAUCUAUUGUUGACGACCGUCCAAUUGAUCAUAUCCCACCAUUUUGUAAUGUACAUUUUUUUACCAUUUAAACCAUAGUCGUCAAGAUACGCAUAUUGCCAAAGGUUAACGCAUAAAAGCGGUACAAUUGCAUUGGUACGAAACUUAGGAAAUCCUGUUCCCCAAAGAAAGGCAUUUGACGCAUUGUACGUGCAUAAUAAGGAAAAUAAAGAUUUUUCUGGACUAUAUACCAACCACAGCCAACCAUCACCAAAAACUGAAUUGCCAACGUCAACCAUUUGAGACUUCAACUCACCAAAUGAACCGAAGGAUGCAUCAAUUCCAGGCUUUAGGUUGAUAGCUCCUAAAUCUGCAUCUGCAGAGGGCCGUUCUGGAGAAAUAAGGCCGGAAAAGAAAAAAUCAUGAUUUACCAAUUGGCUAGAGUAAUUGAAUAAAUUAGCGCGGGCUGGGUCACUAGCGCUUUGAACCAUUAAAUCUGAAGGCACACGAUACGGAGUUUGAUGAAUUUUACAUUCUUUUUGUACUAGGCCUCGUAAGUGGUUGUCAUAAGCAAAGAUAUUCCUGACCGCAUCUUUUGACAAAAAAUUCUUGUAGCCCACGUCCAACGCUCUGGCGAAGCGCUGUUGAAAACUCAUUUGUUAAAUUGAGGUAAUAGUUAGGGAAUGGGUAUAAAAAACUGCAAUGGAAA